rnacentral:lncRNA from 1 species
UGAGUGAGAGGCUAUUUCUGUACACCACGUUCUCGAUGACUCGGGUAAGAUUAUGAUGCGUACAUCUUUGAUGUAUAUAUGUUGGUUUCAUUCUUUCCAAACAUGGUAGUUUGCAAGGCUAGCUGAAUCAGAUUAUGAUCCAAUGAGUCUAGAUGUACCGAGUUAGAUUAGACAUUGUAUGAUACCAGUCUAGAGUAAUUGACCAACCCAAAAACCUCCAAGCAAAGACCAUCCAUAUAUAGUUGUAUUCAUGGCCGACUUAGAUAGAAGACGAGCGAUGUAACCAUCAUGGUGCCAAUCCCUUGUUCUCUUAUUUUUGUAAUACAUGUCCUAGAUUUUAAUAUGCGUUUUGAAAUCGUGAGAUAAUAUUUGGAUACAAAACUUCAACUUAAUGGAUAUCAUUU